GUGUCAGCCGCCGCGGUAACACGUAGGGGCCAAGCGUUGUCCGGAUUUAUUGGGCGUAAAGAGCUCGUAGGCGGUUCGACAAGUCGGGUGUGAAAACUCCGGGCUCAACCCGGAGACGCCACCCGAUACUGUCGUGACUGGAGUCCGGUAGGGGAGUGGGGAAUUCCUGGUGUAGCGGUGAAAUGCGCAGAUAUCAGGAGGAACACCGGUGGCGAAGGCGCCACUCUGGGCCGGUACUGACGCUGAGGAGCGAAAGCGUGGGUAGCAAACAGGAGGAUAUACCAGGGGAUUAC
rnacentral:rRNA from 1 species